GCCGGGAUGGUGAAAUUGGUAGACACAAGGGACUUAAAAUCCCUCGGCUGAAAAGCUGUACGGGUUCGAUUCCCGUUCCCGGCACCA
rnacentral:tRNA from 1 species